AAAGCAAUCUCUUACAGGCAACCUUUGGUGAAAGGAUUUAAUUGACCAGAGCACGGGAUGGUGCAAGAACUAAAAAGUGAAAUUAAUAACUAAG